rnacentral:rRNA from 1 species
GAUGAACGCUGGCGGCGUGCCUAAUACAUGCAAGUCGAGCGGACGGACGAGAAGCUUGCUUCUCUGAUGUUAGCGGCGGACGGGUGAGUAACACGUGGAUAACCUACCUAUAAGACUGGGAUAACUUCGGGAAACCGGAGCUAAUACCGGAUAAUAUUUUGAACCGCAUGGUUCAAAAGUGAAAGACGGUCUUGCUGUCACUUAUAGAUGGAUCCGCGCUGCAUUAGCUGGUUGGUAAGUUAACGGCUUACCAAGGCAACGAUGCAUAACCGACCUGGGAGGGUGUAGGCCGCCCUGGAACCUGAACGCCGUCCAGGCGCCUGAGGGAGGGCACAGGUGGGAAUUCUCCGCAAUGGGCGGAAACCUGGCAGAACAACGCCGCGCGUGUUGUGGAAGUCUUCCGGUCGUAAAACUCUGUUUUUGGGGAAAAACAUAUGUGUAAUGUACUGUGGACAUCUUGACGGUACCUAAUCAAGAAGCCACGGCUAACUACGUG